AAUGUACUCCCUCCGUCCAGAAAUACUUGUCGAAGAGAUGGAUGUAUCUAGACAUAUUUUAGUUCUAGAUACAUCCAUUUUUUCGACAAGUAUUUCUGGACGGAGGGAGUAUAAA
rnacentral:pre_miRNA from 1 species